rnacentral:misc_RNA from 1 species
GAAAUGCGAUAUGUAAUGUGAAUUGCAGAAUUCAGUGAAUCAUCGAAUCUUUGAACGCACCUUGCGCUCCUUGGUAUUCCUUGGAGCAUGCCUGUUUGAGUAUCAUGAAAUCUUCAAAGUAAAUCUUUUGUUAACUCAAUUGGUUUCUACUUUGGUAUUGGAGGUCUUUGCAGCUUCACACCUGCUCCUCUUUGUUCAUUAGCUGGAUCUCAGUGUUAUGCUUGGUUCCACUCGGCGUGAUAAGUUUUCUAUCGCUGAGGACACUGUAAAAGGUGGCCAAGGUAAAUGCAGAUGAACCGCUUCUAAUAGUCCAUUGACUUGGACAAUACUUUUAUGAUCUGAUCUCAAAUCAGGUAGGACUACCCGCUAAACUUAAGC